GCGGCCGCGAGAGGGGCUGGGCGCCGGCGAACAGGACGCGGGGGAGGGUCGCAGACCCUGAACAGUCUUGUCCGAAAACUACCGAGAGGUACAGUCUUGUGGGGCUGGUCGCAGUUGCACCCCAGGAGCAGUAUUUGGGAUCGUCGUCACAGCAUCCCUGCCAGUCGGCUGUCCCCUCCACCCCUCCUCCUCCGGGCCGGAGACUCAACAGAGGGAUCCAGCGGACCUCGCAGAACCACCAUUGCAUCCCAGGGAUGGUGCCCUCUACAGGAGGAGUUUUGCCUCACUUUGGGAAUCUCUUAACUGCAUCUCUUGCUCCUAAGGAUUAGAAGAAUUGAGCUAAUGGGAGUCUUGCAGCCUCUCUAUCCACUGAGGCAGGGGUCAUGACUACAGGUCCAAGCCACUGCUGCAGUCAGAGAAGGCCGCAGAGAACUACUUGGCUUUAUUGAGGUUCCCUUGGCUGAGCCUCUGGUGCCCGCGGCAUGAGCCUGGUUCUGGGGAAAAACCCACAUGAUGCCCAUGUGUUGGAAUGACCCUUGUUCGGUCUCUUUCCCUCAGACAAACCAUCUGUGCUCACGUCUG
rnacentral:lncRNA from 1 species